UCAUAAGUUAUAUAUAUGAGCUUGGUAGCGAGAGGGGCGGGGGUUUGGACAUUUAGUUGCCCAUUUUGAGCCUAGAGCCGAUCAAUUGUUAACCCAUACCUAGUUCCCUAAAAUUUACCCGUAUUUGACCCGGUCUUGUAAGUUUUAGUAGUUUGUUUUAGUAUGUGUUUAUUAUUGCUAUGUUUAGUUAUAAAAAAAAAAAAAGAAGAAAAAAUCAGAAAAAAAAGAAAGAAGAAAAAAAAGAAAGAAAAAAAAAAGAAAUAAACAUAUGUAUUGUUUUGUAUAUAGAAGUUUAUGUUAUGUUAUGUUUUGUUUUGUUUUCUUAAUGUGUAAUAAAAAGACCGGGUUGAAUCAUGCGCUACUAUUCAUAUAUAUUUCCAUUUCCUACCUAUAUACCUAGCCACGUUACAACCUGCAAGUCCCUUUGUUUCGCAUUCAUGUUUUAGCAAUUUUUAGGCGAAGGAUCCAUUUAGGUACAAGCAUAUUGUUGUGCAAUCACCCAUUUGCCUUGUGUGUGUGUAGCUUAUAUGUUCUAGUUGUUUAUUGUCACCGAGAGGAGAGACAUAGUGAGGGGUGUGUUGCGUGGGUGUUAAGAAAAGGUUAGUAAAAGGACGACUUGUUUUUGUUUGGUUUAAGUUUGAUUGCUUGUUUACUUGGAAAUGGUUUUUGAUGGGUUACUUGGGGGUUUAAGUGUGGGGAUGUGACGGGUGGUCUACGGGACAACCCUUAAGUGUAUUAAAAGACAAGUUAAUCCCCCAUUUAAUCAUGUAAUUGUCUUGAAUUAGAUAACUACAGUUGCUCAUGUUUCAGGUGUGCUCAGGACUUAAAAGGAGUGGAAAUACAGCUUUGUAGGAGAAAGGAUUAAAGCGGGUUUCCUAAAGAAUUGAACGAAGAACAAAGAAGUGGAGCCUGGAGCCUACCAUAACUUACGGUGGCUAUCGUAAGUUACGGUAGCCCCUGAAAGUUUGUUUUUUCCACCGUGCUCCAGUAGUGAUGCACCGUAAAGACUUUUUUGCUACCGUAACUUACGGUGGCUACUGUAAGUUACGGUAGCCUCUGACGCAAAAAGUAUAACUGCCCAUUGUAUGUCCGUUUUCAAGUGCCUUUUCAUCUAUCUCAUGAUUGGGAACGUUUGGCAGGAGUUAUAGGGAGAAUUUUGCCUUGUGCAAGUGUUUGUGAACAAUUCUAAACAUUCCGUUUAUGUUUUCGAUUCGUAUGAACUCUAAACUUUGUGUUAUGAUGAUUCACCAAGCGAUGUGUGGCUAAACUUUCGGUGGUCAUCUUAGGUUGAAGGUUUCUUCUAUGACUCUUAUUUUAUUAUGA
rnacentral:lncRNA from 1 species